rnacentral:lncRNA from 1 species
GAAAACCCUACACACCUAGCACCUCUCUCUCUCUCUCAUAUAUGUAUAUAUGAAUAUAUACAAUGCACGCUUCUCGGAACUGAUUGUUCACACUCUCUCUCUCUAAUCUCUAUAUCUCUCCCCCAAAAAACUCCAAAAUCAAAGGUAAAAAGAGAGAUAUCAGAGUUGCAUAUUGCAGCGACCAGCUGAUUCACAAUUUCUGCUUCUCCUUGCGACCUGCUGACUCACAAUUUCUGCUUCUCCUUUUUAGCCUCAGCUCUGCAAUCUUUUUUCGUGCUUCCGUUCUGCUUUCGAUGCUCUGUCGCCAUGCUUGUGUAUGUGUAUGUUGUUUUUGUCUCAUACAUUAGGUAGGAAUUGGGCAUAUUUUACUUUAUGAACUCGUACUUCGGGUUUUGGUGAUCGUUGAAAAAUGAACCGCGAAUCAUUAUCACCAUUAUUAUGGCGCCGAAGGCUUUCUUCAUUUACGGCGGUGUUUGCGGUCACAUCCUUGUUACUAAUCACCGGAAUCUAUACUGCAGGUCCGCGUUUUUGUGUAUGAUAAUAUGUAUUUCUGCAUUUCCUAGUGGAAUUUAAUAAUGGAAACUCAAUUAAUUGGAGUUGGGUAGAAUUUGUGAUUUGCUAAUUUCCUCAAAGAAUAGCCUCUUUUUCGGCGACAACGCUCUCCCAAACUUCUUUUGUUACUUAAUCGAUGUAUGUGACUUUUAUUGUCUUGUUCGCGUCUUUUAAUUUCAUCCGAAAACAAUUAUGGUUAAUUUUCUGUAACACUAUUCAAAAAAAAGAAAAAUACUGGGUGAACUAGGACGUGCUCAAGUGUUUUGCUAAAUGUAGUACUACCAUAUAUGGUACCCCAAAACGUGUAUUCUUUUCUUCUGUUUUGGUUAUUUAUUUUUAUUUUGGUCUGCAUUUACAUUUUGAAUUCGAAAAUAAUAACUCAAACUACUGUGUUCAGAUCAAGUAUUGAAGGAGUUGGG